GUAGUAUUUGACUAAAUACUUGUUAAAACUUGUGAUAUUAAUGUAAAAAUAUUUGGAAUUGUAAGUAGCUACUACUUUUUGAAAUGUAAAGUAGCA